rnacentral:rRNA from 1 species
CGGAGGUGCGAGCGUUGUCCGGAUUAUUGGGUUUAAAGGGUGCGUAGGCGGCCGUUAAGUCCGGGUGAAGCCCGCUGCUCAACAGCGGAACUGCCCUGGAUACUGGAUGGCUUGAGUACAGACGAGGUUGGCGGAAUGGACUGAGUAGCGGUGAAAUGCAUAGAUACAGUCCAGAACCCGAUUGCGAAGGCAGCUGACUAGGCUGUUACUGACGCUGAGGCACGAAAGCGUGGGAGCGAACAGGAUU